UAAUGAUUACAGUGUGAAAAAAGAUAUUUCAAAAUAACCUAUAUGAAAUGUCAAGUGCAAAAUUAAUUAAAAAUGUGAUAAUUUGAAAUUGGGAAUGUGUUACCAUAACGUGUUUGUAAGUACAGACGCAUUGAACAUCGGCGCACAAAUUAUUCUAUGGAUUGUGUUGUGUAUUGUUGGAGUCGUCGUGGUACUUUUUGUUCUCUCUUCGUCUGAUGAAUCCAUGUGUAAGUGAAUCUUCGAACACCAUGACCACUAAAAGGAGGAGUGAAUUUUCAAUGAAAAUAUUAACAAAUAAAAACAAUGAGGUGUUAAAAACAAUGGAACGAAUAAAAAACUAUAUAUUCCAUUCCUGUACGUGCGUGUUAGAAAAUGAAGUGGAGUUACGUGAUUGUAAAAAACAAUGUGUGUAUCGAACAACUCGUUGUCUAUUCAAAACAAUAAACAAGUUUUUGCAACAGA